rnacentral:rRNA from 1 species
UACGUAGGGGGCUAGCGUUGUCCGGAAUCAUUGGGCGUAAAGCGCGUGUAGGCGGUCCGGUAAGUCCGCUGUGAAAGCCAGGGGGCUCAACCCUUGGAUGCCGGUGGAUACUGUCGGGCUUGAGUACGGAAGAGGCGAGUGGAAUUCCUGGUGUAGCGGUGAAAUGCGCAGAUAUCAGGAGGAACACCAAUGCGAAGGCAGCUCGCUGGGACGUUACUGACGCUGAGACGCGAAAGCGUGGGGGAGCAAACAGG